rnacentral:misc_RNA from 1 species
UCCAGCUCCCUCACAUUUGACUACCAUAAACAACUCAGUUUUGGCUAUUACAAAAGACUAAAGCUAAGUCGCUAACCCUUUCACUUAAGAUACAAGACAUUACUAAAAUUCGAUGUCGAUGACCAGCUCUACGCCAAUAAUCAACCUGCCACAUCACCAUUUACCUGGCUCUUCAUCAAGUAUCACUUGGUUGCUGGUGAGCUUCUUGUUGUUGUGGUUGAGUCUGUGGCCAGGGCAUGAAUGCCACAGGUGGACGAGGCUGCUGGGCUCCACAGACUACUGCUUGAUCAACUGGCUUUCCCAUGAUCAUCCCUGGAGGUCCCACAGGAUGCUGCGGUGGGACAUAAUAAUAUGGCAUAUCAGCAGGGGAACCAACCAUAGGAAUAGUCGCCUUGGUGACCCCUAAUCCCUCCUCUUUUAACUCGUCUCUGGGAAUAAUAUCAACCAAGAAAUC